UUUUCAAUGGCUGUCCAUGUUACAUAAUUUCUAUAGGUAGCUAAGCAUUAGAAAUAACUUUGCUCAGUUAAAAAGGCGUAGGAGAAAGGGCAGGGGAGAACAGUGGUGAAAAAACAGUAAAAUAAGGAACAGUGGAAGGCUCUACCAUAAACAGUAAGGAAAGCAUUUAAAUUAUACUACACAGCCUAAAGACACAAAACAUUUCAUUUCCCUUUGCAUAAAACUGGUCUGACCUUCACAGUUCUGAAAUAACAGGAAAUAUUUCUCUGGUAACUGUACUGCAUUUUAGCCUGGUAGUUAAGCAGACUGCUCAGCAUGAAUAAAUAUAGUUUGAAAUUGUUAGGGCAGAUUUCUAUGAAGAGUGCAUGUUAAGCAGUAAUAUAAAUGUAAGAGCUUACAGCAAAAUGAAAUUCAUGCUAUAAAGGUCAAACCUGCCUAAGAGAGACUUUUAGGUAAACUAUUGGGUUGAAAAGCUGAUUCCCGUUUUGUUUUAAUAGUUGGUAACGUAUGGUGGCUGAGGUGAUGUGUUUCAGUUGAGUAGAUCAUGGAGCAUUAUCCUGCACUCAGUUGAGCAUAAAUGUGUCUGAUUUCUGCAGGACUAUGAAAAAUGGCUGAAUUCUCUCUUCCUGAAUCUGAAAUUAAUGACUAAAAAUGUUAUCAACGAGCCACUUCGCCCUUUCAAUACACUACUCAUGUCAGCUGUCUUCAAAGACACCAGGGAAAUAAUGUUCCCAGAAAUUUUCACAUGUAAUACCCAAGAUGGUGUACCUCCUUCAGCCAGGAAUGGGCUUCAUUGUCCUUGCCAUGGAUGAGGUAAGAGUAGAGUUUCUCAUCUACAACUCAGUAGAUCUCUGACUCCUCUUUGACCAGCAGUUUCUGGUUGGUCUGUUUGUUUACUGGUGUAUCUUUGUUAUUCUUCUUUAAGACUUUCAGAAUCACCCUUUUAUGUAGAAAAUUUUUCAUUCUUGAUCUAAUAUGAGGUGGUUAUAUACACACAUAUGGGUUAUGUUCUGCUUAUUUACAUUUAGAAUUUUGACAACUACUUUUGACUUAAAACCUGUCAUUUUAUUAGUAAGCUUUUCAUUUUUAAUAAUUUCUCCUUGCUGUAUGCUGAGAUGUUUAUUUAAAAAAUGUGUUUACAUAUGUAAGUCAUGAUUUGAGAUACUUUAAGAUUUAAUGUCUGUUUGACUCCCCCUCUAAGAGAUGCAGAGGUGAGUAUGAUUCCUCUUUUUCUUACUUUCACUCCUACUUCUUUCCUUAUAUUACCUGAAGUGGAUUCUAUUAUCAUUUCUAAAUUGACCUAUUACAUUUAUGUUUUGUUCUAUAGCACUUCUAAUUCUCACAGUUGGGUAGUAUCUGUACAGUUUUUCUCCAUUCUUCUCUAAGUUUAUACUAUAGUAGUUGUCUUAAAGAAUACAUAAUGCCAAUUUUGUCUAUUCAUUUGAUUUUUUCCUAC